CCUACGGGAGGCAGCAGUGAGGAAUAUUGGUCAAUGGACGAGAGUCUGAACCAGCGAAGUAGCGUGAAGGAUGACUGCCCUAUGGGUUGUAAACUUCUUUUAUAUGGGAAUCAAACGUUCCACGUGUGGGAUUUUGUAUGUACCAUAUGAAUAAGGAUCGGCUAACUCCGUGCCAGCAGCCGCGGUAAUACGGAGGAUCCGAGCGUUAUCCGGAUUUAUUGGGUUUAAAGGGAGCGUAGGUGGAUUGUUAAGUCAGUUGUGAAAGUUUGCGGCUCAACCGUAAAAUUGCAGUUGAAACUGGCAGUCUUGAGUACAGUAGAGGUGGGCGGAAUUCGUGGAGUAGCGGUGAAAUGCUUAGAUAUCACGAAGAACUCCGAUUGCGAAGGCAGUUCACUGGACUGCAACUGACACUGAGGCUCGAAAGUGUGGGUAUCAAACAGGAUUAGAUACCCCUGUAGUC
rnacentral:rRNA from 1 species